UAAACUUGAAGACUUUUCACAAAACUUUGAAGAAAUGAAAGAAGUGAGGUCUCUUAGGUGAGGCUUGGACUUUGGAUCCAAGACACACUCACCGUCUACCAAUUUUAAUGAGAAAUUAAGAGCAAAAGGUUUACAAGUGAUGGAAGAACACUUGUGAAUUCUUCCAAGUCACUUGCUUAAUGGCCAUUUACAAAUGCUAUUACAAAACAAAGGAACGGAGCCAUAAGGAAAGGAAUGAAUCAAUUUGUGUAGCUUUGGCUGCUCUCAAAAGGUAUUGAAUCAAUGGUGAUUCACACAAUUCUCUUAGCUGCUGGUGUGAAACUCUUCUGCCGUGACAACCAGCACUUGUAGAACCAAAAUCUGUUGUUGCUCGGUCAAGAAUUACAGCCCGAUAAAUGGUCACUGCUGCACAAAAAUCAGCUUCCAAUCUGAUCUUUUCCUUCAACAAUCCUCUUCCUAAAGUGCUACCAAUUAUGCAAAGUCGUCUGGAAACAAUCUGCAACCAC
rnacentral:lncRNA from 1 species